rnacentral:misc_RNA from 1 species
UACGUAGGGUGCAAGCGUUAAUCGGAAUUACUGGGCGUAAAGCGUGCGCAGGCGGUUCUGUAAGACAGAUGUGAAAUCCCCGGGCUUAACCUGGGAAUUGCAUUUGUGACUGCAGGACUAGAGUACAUCAGAGGGGGGUGGAAUUCCAAGUGUAGCAGUGAAAUGCGUAGAUACUUGGAAGAACACCAAUGGCGAAGGCAGCCCCCUGGGAUGCGACUGACGCUCAUGCACGAAAGCGUGGGGAGCAAACAGG